rnacentral:rRNA from 1 species
UACGUAGGGUGCAAGCGUUGUCCGGAAUUACUGGGCGUAAAGCGUGCGCAGGCGGUUAUGCAAGACAGAUGUGAAAUCCCCGGGCUCAACCUGGGAACUGCAUUUGUGACUGCAUGGCUAGAGUACGGUAGAGGGGGAUGGAAUUCCGCGUGUAGCAGUGAAAUGCGUAGAUAUGCGGAGGAACACCGAUGGCGAAGGCAAUCCCCUGGACCUGUACUGACGCUCAUGCACGAAAGCGUGGGGAGCAAAC